AGACUCAUGGUGUAACGGUAGCACAAGUGAUUUUGGUUCAUUUAGUUGGGGUUCGAAUCCCUGUGAGUCUA
rnacentral:tRNA from 1 species